UAGGGAAUCUUCCACAAUGGGCGCAAGCCUGAUGGAGCAACACCGCGUGAGUGAAGAAGGGUUUCGGCUCGUAAAGCUCUGUUGUUGGAGAAGAACGUGCGUGAGAGUAACUGUUCACGCAGUGACGGUAUCCAACCAGAAAGUCACGGCUAACUACGUGCCAGCAGCCGCGGUAAUACGUAGGUGGCAAGCGUUAUCCGGAUUUAUUGGGCGUAAAGCGAGCGCAGGCGGUUGCUUAGGUCUGAUGUGAAAGCCUUCGGCUUAACCGAAGAAGGGCAUCGGAAACCGGGCGACUUGAGUGCAGAAGAGGACAGUGGAACUCCAUGUGUAGCGGUGGAAUGCGUAGAUAUAUGGAAGAACACCAGUGGCGAAGGCGGCUAUCUGGUCUGCAACUGACGCUGAGGCUCGAAAGCAUGGGUAGCGAACAGGAUUAGAUACCCUGGUAGUCCAUGCCGUAAACGAUGAGUGCUAGGUGUUGGAGGGUUUCCGCCCUUCAGUGCCGGAGCUAACGCAUUAAGCACUCCGCCUGGGGAGUACGACCGCAAGGUUG
rnacentral:rRNA from 1 species